rnacentral:misc_RNA from 1 species
UUGGCUUCUUCUCUCCUCUUCUUCUCUUCUUCUUUUGCAGCAGCAGCAAGCUCCCUUUGCUUCUUCAGCUCCUCUAGCCUAGCCCUGUCAUCUGAAACACUACUCAUACUAGAGCCUUUCCGUGGCUUGCAGGCCACUAACUCCACCUCAAAAAUAAGGGUUGCGUCAGGUGGGAUAUCUGGAGGGGACCCAGCACUUCCAUAGGCAUAUUCAGGCUUGCAAGUAAUUUUUGCAACCUCCCCAACCUUCAUGGUUCUCAUAGCAAUGUCCCAAGCUUGGAUUACAGAGCCCUUUCCGAGUUCAAAUGAGAACACGGUAUUAUCCUCAUGCGUAGUAUCAAAGGCUACACCACUUUCAGCAAGAGUGCCCUCAUAAUGAACAUCAAGAAGAGGUAGAUCCUCUGAAGGACCAAGUGCACCGGCUUUUGCGUUCCUUAUGAUUGUCUUGAUGACACCUCCAUCCCCAGUCAAAUCAACUGAAUCACCCAUGGAUCAUAAAUCCUCAAAAGCCCAGUUCAGUGAGAAAGCAAAUAAAUCGAGACGAAACGGGAAAAUCGGGGACGAUAUACCGGAUAAAUUGCUGUUGAUAUCGGUGGCCAUAGGCGUCUUAGUGAGUUCGUUUGACUAGACAGAGCAAAGCCGGCAUUUUCU